rnacentral:rRNA from 1 species
CGCGUAGGUGGUAGUGCAAGUCUGAUGUGGAAUCUUAGGGCUUAACCCUAAAAUUGCAUUGGAAACUGUAUUACUUGAGUCAGUGAGGGGAGGGUAGAAUUCCUGGUGUAGCGGUGAAAUGCGUAGAUAUCAGGAGGAAGGCCGGUGGCGAAGGCGGCCCUCUGGCGCUGAACUGACACUGAGGCGCGAAAGCGUGGGUAGCAAACAGGAUUAGAUACCCUGGUGGUCCACGCCCUAAACGGUGGGUACUAGGUGUAGGGCUCGUAAGGGUUCUGUGCCGAAGCGAAAGCAUUAAGUACCCGCCUGGGGAGUACGGCCGCAAGGUUGAA